rnacentral:rRNA from 1 species
GAAUGCUGACAUAAGUAACGAUAAAGCGGGUGAAAAGCCCGCUCGCCGGAAGACCAAGGGUUCCUGUCCAACGUUAAUCGGGGCAGGGUGAGUCGACCCCUAAGGCGAGGCCGAAAGGCGUAGUCGAUGGGAAACAGGUUAAUAUUCCUGUACUUGGUGUUACUGCGAAGGGGGGACGGAGAAGGCUAUGUUGGCCGGGCGACGGUUGUCCCGGUUUAAGCGUGUAGGCUGGUUUUCCAGGCAAAUCC